rnacentral:rRNA from 1 species
GCAGUCGAACGCAUCCUUCGGGGUGAGUGGCAGACGGGUGAGUAACGCGUGGGGAUGUGCCUAGAGGUGGGGAAUAACUGUGGGAAACUACAGCUAAUACCGCAUACGCCCUUUUUGGGGAAAGAUUUAUCGCCUUUAGAGCAACCCGCGUCAGAUUAGCUAGUUGGUAGGGUAAUGGCCUACCAAGGCGACGAUCUGUAGCUGGUCUGAGAGGAUGACCAGCCACACUGGGACUGAGACACGGCCCAGACUCCUACGGGAGGCAGCAGUGGGGAAUAUUGGACAAUGGGCGCAAGCCUGAUCCAGCCAUGCCGCGUGAGUGAUGACGGCCUUAGGGUUGUAAAGCUCUUUUAACAGGGACGAUAAUGACGGUACCUGUAGAAUAAGCCCCGGCAAACUUCGUGCCAGCAGCCGCGGUAAUACGAAGGGGGCUAGCGUUGUUCGGAAUUACUGGGCGUAAAGCGCACGUAGGCGGAUUGUUAAGUCGGGGGUGAAAUCCUGAGGCUCAACCUCAGAACUGCCUUCGAUACUGGCGAUCUUGAGUUCGGAAGAGGUUGGUGGAACAGCUAGUGUAGAGGUGAAAUUCGUAGAUAUU